AACGAACGCUGGCGGCAGGCUUAACACAUGCAAGUCGAACGCACUCUUCGGAGUGAGUGGCAGACGGGUGAGUAACACGUGGGAACCUACCCAAAGGUACGGAAUAACACAGGGAAACUUGUGCUAAUACCGUAUGUGCCCUUCGGGGGAAAGAUUUAUCGCCUUUGGAUGGGCUCGCGUCGGAUUAGCUAGUUGGUGGGGUAAUGGCCUACCAAGGCGACGAUCCGUAGCUGGUCUGAGAGGAUGAUCAGCCACACUGGGACUGAGACACGGCCCAGACUCCUACGGGAGGAAGCAGUGGGGAAUAUUGGACAAUGGGCGCAAGCCUGAUCCAGCCAUGCCGCGUGAGUGAUGAAGGCCUUAGGGUUGUAAAGCUCUUUCAGCUGGGAAGAUAAUGACGGUACCAGCAGAAGAAGCCCCGGCUAACUUCGUGCCAGCCGCCGCAGUAAAAC
rnacentral:rRNA from 1 species